rnacentral:lncRNA from 1 species
AAUCGAUGAAUCACAUCAAAUUAAAAUAUUCAUUAUGUUCGAGCUUGAUUUUAAACUUUUGAAGCUCGUCUAACUCUGAAGUUCGUGUGAAGCUUAAGAAGAGCCUUCACAUGAUCAGGAUGAGGAUAAGAUUCAAUUGAGAAUCCACGACUCACGUACAUAUCCAUUUUUCAUGUAACGAUCGAAAAGAUGAGUUUGUUCGAGUUCUACGAAAGUUACUUUGUACGUAAGGUUUUGAUUAUAAAUACUCUUCAUUUACUCAUUCACUAGCAAUGCACUAUUAACUAUUUCGAUUGUUCAUUAUAUUAUUUAAUAUCAAUAACAUCAAGCUUGUUCUUAUGAUCAAUUAUUUGAUUUUGUUUAAUUUCUUACUUAUUAUUAGCCAUAUUUACAUAAAUUAAAACAAGUUAAACUAUCUUAAUCACAUAUUUUUUUAUUGUUUCAGCCCUCACAUAUGAAAGUGCAAGAGGGGGAUGAAUUGUUGUUUUUUUUUCUUUGAUGAAGAGUAGUUGACGUAAGAUAUACUUUAGUCGACUACAGUUUAACAUAGCAAAAAUGAAUUAUGCAGUAAAUGCAAAAAGUAAACUUGACACCAACGUUUUAUAUUGGAUCUGAUCCAAGAUUGAUCUUACGUCCAUUCCUCUAGGGUUGCGAGGGUGUUCUCUUCAGGUUUUUGAAACUUCUUGAAACAAGUACAAGGUUUGUGUGUUGUUCUAAAAAAGACACUCAAUCUUAAUUUCUUACAGAAGAUCUAGGUUUUCUGGCUUUUGAUACCAAUAUUGAUUGUAUUAAAGUAUUAACCUAAUAAGGGAAUACAUGGGAGAUAUAGGAAGGAGUACUAAUCCUAAUAGGAUUAGGAUUAAGGAGUACUAAUCCUAAUAGGACUAGGAUUAGUACACAGUAAAUACAAAUAUUGUUCUAUACUAUUUAUUUAAUACUAUCUGUCAUUACCAUCUUUCCUCUAACAAUAUGUUGUCUUUUUAUAGAGUUGAGACUUGAAUCUUAUCCUUGUGAAGAGAUUUGAUCCUUGGAAAAAAGACAAUGUAUCCUUCUUUUCCAAGAAUAAAGAUUAAGGCUUAUCAAUCUUAAUUUCUUACAGAUGGUCGUUGUUAUCUUUUCCUUAGGUAGCCGUUGGAGAAUUCUCUCUUUCUUAUUUGAUUCAUUCUUGUAAAUUCUUUGAUUGAAUAUAGCCAUUGGAGAUCUUCCUUGAUUGACCGUUGUUUUGUGAGAGUUCGGAGCCUAAAGGGUAAAAUAACUUGACAAAAAUUUCAAAAGGGUAAUAUCAAAAAAAAAUUUAAUCAAAACGGUAAAAUCGCUACUGGCGAUUUAUUUUGACUACGUUAAAGAAAAAUCGCUGCUCAAGCAGCGCUAUUGCAUAAUUUUUAUUUUUAUUUUGAAAUCGCUGCCUUGUCAGAGAUUUUUGUUAUUGUUUUUUUUUUGAGUUUCUUUUUUUAACAGAUCGCUGUGAUUUUAGUGAAAUUUUAAUUUUUUAUUUGUGUAUUUCAAAUCGCUGCAUUUGAAGCGAUUUUAGUGAAAUUUAUUUUUUUAAAAUUAUGAAUUGAUAAUCGCUAUUUUUGUUUUUGG